rnacentral:rRNA from 1 species
UACGGGGGGGGCAAGCGUUGUUCGGAAUUACUGGGCGUAAAGGGCUCGUAGGUGGCCAACUAAGUCAGACGUGAAAUCCCUCAGCUUAACUGGGGAACUGCGUCUGAUACUGGAUGGCUUGAGUUUGGGAGAGGGAUGCGGAAUUCCAGGUGUAGCGGUGAAAUGCGUAGAUAUCUGGAGGAACACCGGUGGCGAAGGCGGCAUCCUGGACCAACACUGACACUGAUGAGCGAAAGCUAGGGGAGCAAACAGG